rnacentral:rRNA from 1 species
CGGGUAGCCGGCCUGAGAGGGCGACCGGCCACAUUGGGACUGAGAUACGGCCCAGACUCCUACGGGAGGCAGCAGUGGGGAAUAUUGCACAAUGGGCGCAAGCCUGAUGCAGCGACGCCGCGUGAGGGAUGGAGGCCUUCGGGUUGUAAACCUCUUUUGUUAGGGAGCAAGGCACUUUGUGUUGAGUGUACCUUUCGAAUAAGCACCGGCUAACUACGUGCCAGCAGCCGCGGUAAUACGUAGGGUGCAAGCGUUAUCCGGAAUUAUUGGGCGUAAAGGGCUCGUAGGCGGUUCGUCGCGUCCGGUGUGAAAGUCCAUCGCUUAACGGUGGAUCCGCGCCGGGUACGGGCGGGCUUGAGUGCGGUAGGGGAGACUGGAAUUCCCGGUGUAACGGUGGAAUGUGUAGAUAUCGGGAAGAACACCAAUGGCGAAGGCAGGUCUCUGGGCCGUUACUGACGCUGAGGAGCGAAAGCGUGGGGAGCGAACAGGAUUAGAUACCCUGGUAGUCCACGCCGUAAACGGUGGAUGCUGGAUGUGGGGCCCGUUCCACGGGUUCCGUGUCGGAGCUAACGCGUUAAGCAUCCCGCCUGGGGAGUACGGCCGCAAGGCUAAAACUCAAAGAAAUUGACGGGGGCCCGCACAAGCGGCGGAGCAUGCGGAUUAAUUCGAUGCAACGCGAAGAACCUUACCUGGGCUUGACAUGUUCCCGACGAUCCCAGAGAUGGGGUUUCCCUUCGGGGCGGGUUCACAGGUGGUGCAUGGUCGUCGUCAGCUCGUGUCGUGAGAUGUUGGGUUAAGUCCCGCAACGAGCGCAACCCUCGCCCCGUGUUGCCAGCGGAUUAUGCCGGGAACUCACGGGGGACCGCCGGGGUUAACUCGGAGGAAGGUGGGGAUGACGUCAGAUCAUCAUGCCCCUUACGUCCAGGGCUUCACGCAUGCUACAAUGGCCGGUACAACGGGAUGCGACAGUGCGAGCUGGAGCGGAUCCCUGAAAACCGGUCUCAGUUCGGAUCGCAGUCUGCAACUCGACUGCGUGAAGGCGGAGUCGCUAGUAAUCGCGAAUCAGCAACGUCGCGGUGAAUGCGUUCCCGGGCCUUGUACACACCGCCCGUCAAGUCAUGAAAGUGGGCAGCACCCGAAGCCGGUGGCCUAACCCCUUGCGGGAGGGAGCCGUCUAAGGUGAGGCUCGUGAUUGGGACUAAGUCGUAACAAGGUAGCCGUACCGGAAGGUGCGGCUG